rnacentral:lncRNA from 1 species
GUGCGGCGAACGGGUUGGAAUCAGGCCUCCCACCGUGCUCCUCGUACGCAGCUCUCAACCGUCCGAUCAGAGCAUCGAGAGAUCCCCAGGCUUGCUUGAGAGGACAAGCGCAAGGAGAGGGAGGCUGCUGAUGUCCGAAGUAAGGACAGGUCGCCACGUGGACUUUGGUCUUACCGAACUGAUCUAGGUACUUGAGGAACUCGAUCACGUGCGCUCCGCUGCAACGUGAUAACGCGAGAGGCGGCUUGUGGUUCUUGAGGUACUGCAAGAACGUGUUCCAGUCACGUCGUUUCUGCGACUCGUACCUGCUAGGGGGCGUCGCCGGAGGUGAAGAGGGCGUUACGGAAGACGGACCCGGAUCACCUCCAUGUUGUUGUGACCCCGAAUCAGUCGAUUCCAUCAAAACUAGGGUUUUUUUUUUGUUUUUCUUUGAGAGAGUUUUUAUUUAGCCUUGGUUUUUUAGAAUAUAAGCGAAUCGAGAAUUUAGUGUUUUAAAAGAAAGAGAGACAAAUGAGAGAAAGUUCUUUAUAUGUAAUCUGAUUAAUUUUUAAACUAUUAUUUGAAGAAUAGGAAAUAACCUUCAUUUCAUAUAUAUAUAUAUAUAUAUAUAUUCAUAAAUAAUAAUAGAGUAAACUAACAUGGCCUGGCUGUUGGCUCGUCCUUAUCAAAGAUCAUGUGCUGAUUAGGAACAAAACAAACUUAGAUCAUGAUAAACAAGGACCACAGGUUCUGUCUAACCUAUCUUUAAUAACAAAUCUAGGGCAAAAACUGCCUUAAAUAUAUAGAGUCGUAAUGCAAUCGCUAAAGUUCCAUAUUGGCUAAUUAAGGCGACCUUUAUAUAAAUAUCUCAAGCUAACGGUCACGGAAACUAUUCUGUCUUGUAAUGGUUAACCAAACACUACCUUCAUUGCUGACGUCAAGAAAAGAAGCCUACUCCGAUUAUUUCACUAUAGAUUGUUUACUUAAGCAUAUGGUUGAAAGACACACGUGUGGAAAGACGCGUACUAGAACACAGUAAGAAGCCCCAUGUUGGUCGGACAUAUCGUGAUAAACAACACUAGGCCUGUUCGGCUGUUCGUUUAUUAAACGCGGCGACCAACUCUGGCUACUGAAAUUUGUUCGUAAUUUUCUUAUGCGCUGGUCGCUGGUGAAGGAAAAUAGAGAACGCGCGUUAGAAUAAUCGACCGAUUCUUUUCUCUCUCUUUCAUGCGGCUGAAAAACAUGGAUGCUCUUCCAUUUUUUUUUCUCGCGUCUGUAAAUUUUCUCGUUUUCCCUUAAAAUUUCAGUCGCAAGUGUUAGACGCGGCGUUUAAUAAACGAACAGGCCUACUGUCUCGACUCUCACGAGUCGCGAUCUUGUUCUAUUCAUGUGACUUUUACCAUAUUUCCAAGGUUGUUUACGUACACGUGCGUGUGUACGUAUCUUAAAACGCAUAUGUAUAUCUGCUAUUCAUGCAUGAGAGUAUAUAUAUACAAAAUAAAAAUGUAAACCAAUAUGUGACUAAAAGACAUAACUAGAGAUAGUAAGUUAUAUAUUUGGCAUAUUGUACACAAAUUUGAAUGGAAAAGAGAGUAUUAUACAUUUAUUUCAGAAAAUGUUAAGUCGUUUAAAUGCAUAUACCGAUGCAUAUGACAUGACAUUGUAUAGUGUAUACAGUAUACGUAUACUUACCUCUUUCGUACUUAAUAUAUAAAUACAUACGCAAGCUGAAAGAAACCCCCAUCCGACUCCUGUAAUAUUCUUCGCUGAUUCCUGAACUCUUCAACACACGUUAAUUUAAAUUCCAUGAUUCUUUAGAUGAUACCGUUUGAUUGAUCACAAAAGCAAGAUCUUAAUAAUUCGGUUAACAAAAGAAAACUCUUAAUAGUUUAUAUAGAAAAUAAAAUACAUUAUAGUACGGAAGGUGUGAGUUCCAUGCUUACUAUAGCAAGAAAACUAAUUAAUAUGAUAUAAUAAUUUAAUUUAAGGCGGUACAGCUUCGGCGACAGACGGAUCACUGACGUUACAACCACCACCUCCUUCACUUUGUCUUGACGGAGCAACGUCAAUUCUAGCGGUGGUAACAGUUGGUGCCCGUUUCCGUUUCUUCUUCUCGUAUGGAAUCCCACGUGCCUUGGCUUGACUUUCCCUGACUUCUCUCAAGUAAAUCCUGACCGCACGUGCGGCGAACGGGUUGGAAUCAGGCCUCCCACCGUGCUCCUCGUACGCAGCUCUCAACCGUCCGAUCAGAGCAUCGAGAGAUCCCCAGGCUUGCUUGAGAGGACAAGCGCAAGGAGAGGGAGGCUGCUGAUGUCCGAAGUAAGGACAGGUCGCCACGUGGACUUUGGUCUUACCGAACUGAUCUAGGUACUUGAGGAACUCGAUCACGUGCGCUCCGCUGCAACGUGAUAACGCGAGAGGCGGCUUGUGGUUCUUGAGGUACUGCAAGAACGUGUUCCAGUCACGUCGUUUCUGCGACUCGUACCUGCUAGGGGGCGUCGCCGGAGGUGAAGAGGGCGUUACGGAAG